GUGUUUGGUUCGGCAGCACACAGACUAAAAAUUGGAACGAUGCAGAGAUGAGCAUGGCCAUUGCACAAGGAUGACAUGCAAAUUCGUGAAGCAUUCCAUAUUUUU